rnacentral:rRNA from 1 species
UGGGUAACCUGCCUUAUAGUGGGGGAUAGCCUUUCGAAAGGAAGAUUAAUACCGCAUAAGAUUGUAGUAUCGCAUGAUAUAGCAAUUAAAGGAGCAAUCCGCUAUAAGAUGGACCCGCGUCGCAUUAGCUAGUUGGUGAGGUGAUGGCUCACCAAGGCGACGAUGCGUAGCCGACCUGAGAGGGUGAUCGGCCACAUUGGGACUGAGACACGGCCCAGAAUCCUACGGGAGGCAGCAUG